UAACUUGUACUUUAGAUAGACAAUAUACGAAAGUAGGGUGGCGCGACGGGUGCGUAACGCGUAGGUAAUCUGCCCUGAGGUCUGACAUAACCCGUCGAAAGGCGGGCUAACAUCAGAUGAUAUAUGAUCACGACAUCGUGGAAAUAUCAAAUCUUCGGAGCCUUGGGAUGAGCCUGCGUCUGAUUAGGUAGUUGGCGGAGUAAUAGCCCACCAAGCCUACGAUCAGUGGCUGGUCUGAGAGGAUGAUCAGCCACACUGGAACUGAGACACGGUCCAGACUCCUACGGGAGGCAGCAGUAAGGAAUAUUGCUCAAUGGGGGAAACCCUGAAGCAGCAACGCCGCGUGAAGGAUGAAAUACUUUUGUAUGUAAACUUCUGUAAGAUGGGAAAAAUAUUCUCCUCGGGAGAAUUGAUUGUACCAUCAGAGUAAGCCCCGGCUAACUACGUG
rnacentral:rRNA from 1 species